rnacentral:pre_miRNA from 1 species
GCAUACGGUGGCACCCGUCAAAUUGGCUGUGAAAUGUAAUUUUUAUUUUAAUCAUAUCACAGCCAUUUUUGACGAGUCCUGCCGUAAAG